UGGGGAAUAUUGCACAAUGGGGGAAACCCUGAUGCAGCCAUGCCGCGUGUGUGAAGAAGGCUUUCGGGUUGUAAAGCACUUUCAGUCAGGAGGAAGUGGAGGAGGUUAACAGCCGCCGUCAUUGACGUUACUGACAGAAGAAGCACCGGCUAACUCCGUGCCAGCAGCCGCGGUAAUACGGAGGGUGCAAGCGUUAAUCGGAAUUACUGGGCGUAAAGCGCACGCAGGCGGUCUGUUAAGUCAGAUGUGAAAUCCCCGGGCUCAACCCGGGAACUGCAUUUGAAACUGGCAGGCUUGAGUCUCGUAGAGGGGGGUGGAAUUCCAGGUGUAGCGGUGAAAUGCGUAGAGAUCUGGAGGAAUACCGGUGGCGAAGGCGGCCCCCUGGACGAAGACUGACGCU
rnacentral:rRNA from 1 species